rnacentral:rRNA from 1 species
AUUGAACGCUGGCGGCAGGCCUAACACAUGCAAGUCGAACGGUAACAGGAAGAAGCUUGCUUCUUUGCUGACGAGUGGCGGACGGGUGAGUAAUGUCUGGGAAACUGCCUGAUGGAGGGGGAUAACUACUGGAAACGGUAGCUAAUACCGCAUAACGUCGCAAGACCAAAGAGGGGGACCUUCGGGCCUCAUGCCAUCGGAUGUGCCCAGAUGGGAUUAGCUAGUAGGUGGGGUAACGGCUCACCUAGGCGACGAUCCCUAGCUGGUCUGAGAGGAUGACCAGCCACACUGGAACUGAGACACGGUCCAGACUCCUACGGGAGGCAGCAGUGGGGAAUAUUGCACAAUGGGCGCAAGCCUGAUGCAGCCAUGCCGCGUGUAUGAAGAAGGCCUUCGGGUUGUAAAGUACUUUCAGCGGGGAGGAAGGGAGUAAAGUUAAUACCUUUGCUCAUUGACGUUACCCGCAGAAGAAGCACCGGCUAACUCCGUG